rnacentral:lncRNA from 1 species
GUUAUACAAGAUAAACAGUACAUUUGUUAAAUAAAGAAUAGCUUCCCCACAUUCUAAGUAAUGUUUAAAUACAUACUAUUUAUUUUCUAUCAAAAACUUCACAUGGCUAGUGCAUGCAUUCUCAUGGAAUGCUUUUAACAGCUUGCAGACUCAUUACCUAUUAAUCUAUGGCUAAUAUAAGGCACUUUUGUUGUAGCUUACAAAUUUGUGGAGGUUAAAUAAUUCAGUGCAUGCAGUUCUGAAUUUAGAUUAUCUUUCAAUGGUCAGAAAUAUACUUUGCCAAAAAAUUCAGUCUGAGUGUGCUCAAAAUAUCAAGUAUCUUUUGAAGUUUUUAAAUAAGAUCUCCACAAUAAAACCCCCACAAACAAACAACAAAAAAGUCCAGAACAGGUCUGGUAAACAGAAGUGGAUAGCAGACAUCCUUAAACCUUCUUGAGAAAAUUUUCAAAACCUAAGAGAGGCAGAGACAGACCCCAAGGUGGAAAGGGGGCAGGAUUUCUCCUUUAUUUUUCUUUUUUCAACCAAGGACAUUUGGUCUUGAGAGAAGGAAGAGAGGAGAAAUGAGGAAAGCACAAGAUUUGUCUCAAAGAUUUAUUUUGUAGUUGAUUGUAGCUUAUAAAGGUUUUCAUUGAUAGAGUAUGGGAGGGAGCAUUUUAAAUUUCAAUACCGAAGCUUUGAAGAGUUGCCCUGUUGUUGCAGCUGCUGGGGCAGGCUUGCUCAAACAUCAAUGGUGCAUUGUGGCAAUUUGCUCUGCUUCCCUGUCUCUGAUGGACAUCCUCCAGGCAGUGAAGGGCAAAAGGCCUAGGAGUGCUGGUUACUGGCAUAAUAGAAGUUGUUGGACCAGUUUUUCAUAACAAUCCAUUAGUAUGACUACUUAAGAAUUGUAAUUGUAAUUUGAAGGCACAAGUGGGUCAAGAAUAAUUUGCUCUACACUGUUUAAGAAGGCGUGAAGGAGUGUGAGUAGAAUGGGAUGUGUACAGUUCAACACCUGGACUCUUACUGUGGGAAUGGAACAGUGAUUCUGUAACCAACAUUAGAAUUACUUUGGAUUUGUAAUUAAAAUGGUUUUAUGAUUUGUCUUUUAACUAUUCACAGAUAAUUGUAAAUUCUGGUUUUAUAAGCCCAAGUUAUUUUACAUUUGCUUUUCCAAAGUGUAUUAAAUUGGAAUUUUGUAAUCAUUUAUAUACCAAAAAAACCCAAGAAUAAUUUGCUUUAUAAAGCAGUUGAUUCAGGAUUUCAACUUAGGAAGUUUACCUUGGAGCUGAGACUCAUAAAAAUAAAAUCAUGAAAAUUGGUGUUAAGAAGAUUGUUUAGGUAAGCAUACAC